AUCCUGGCUCAGGAUGAACGCUAGCGGCAGGCUUAACACAUGCAAGUCGAGGGGCAGCGCGAGUAGCAAUACUUGGCGGCGACCGGCGCAAGGGUGCGUAACGCGUGAGCAACAUGCCCGUAUCAGGGGGAUAAUCCAGGGAAACUUGGUCUAAUACCCCAUAGUAAUUUUGUAAGGCAUCUUAUAAGAUUUAAAGCUUUGGUGGAUACGGAUUGGCUCGCGUGACAUUAGCUGGAUGGUAAGGUAACGGCUUACCAUGGCUAUGAUGUCUAGGGGUUCUGAGAGGAAGGUCCCCCACACUGGAACUGAGACACGGUCCAGACUCCUACGGGAGGCAGCAGUGAGGAAUAUUGGACAAUGGAUGGAAAUCUGAUCCAGCCAUGCCGUGUGAAGGAAAGAAGGUCCUAUGGAUUGUAAACUUCUUUUGUAUGGGAGCAAUAAGGCCUACGAGUAGGUUGAUGAGAGUACCAUACGAAUAAGCACCGGCUAACUCCGUGCCAGCCGCAGC
rnacentral:rRNA from 1 species